rnacentral:rRNA from 1 species
GGAAUUUUCCGCAAUGGGCGAAAGCCUGACGGAGCAACGCCGCGUGAGGGAUGAAGGCCUCUGGGCUGUAAACCUCUUUUAUCAAGGAAGAAGAUCUGACGGUACUUGAUGAAUAAGCCACGGCUAAUUCCGUGCCAGCAGCCGCGGUAAUACGGGAGUGGCAAGCGUUAUCCGGAAUUAUUGGGCGUAAAGCGUCCGCAGGCGGUCUUUUAAGUCUGUCGUCAAAGCGUGGAGCUUAACUCCAUUUCUGCGAUGGAAACUGGGAGACUAGAGUGUGGUAGGGGCAGAGGGAAUUCCCGGUGUAGCGGUGAAAUGCGUAGGUAUCGGGAAGAACACCAGUGGCGAAGGCGCUCUGCUGGGCCAUAACUGACGCUCAUGGACGAAAGCCAGGGGAGCGAAAGGGAUUAGAUACCCCUGUAGUCCUGGCCGUAAACGAUGAACACUAGGUGUCGGGGGAAUCGACCCCCUCGGUGUCGUAGCCAACGCGUUAAGUGUUCCGCCUGGGGAGUACGCACGCAAGUGUGAAACUCAAAGGAAUUGACGG